UACGUAGGGUGCGAGCGUUGUCCGGAAUUACUGGGCGUAAAGAGCUCGUAGGUGGUUUGUCGCGUUGUUCGUGAAAACUCACAGCUUAACUGUGGGCGUGCGGGCGAUACGGGCAGACUGGAGUACUGCAGGGGAGACUGGAAUUCCUGGUGUAGCGGUGGAAUGCGCAGAUAUCAGGAGGAACACCGGUGGCGAAAGCGCUCAUCUGGCCCGAUACUGACGCUGAAGCACGAAAGCUAGGGGAGCAAACGGG
rnacentral:rRNA from 1 species